UUUAACUGAGCGUUCAGUUACUUGACGUAGACCCGAAACCGGGCGACCUACCCAUGAGCAGGAUGAAGCGAAAGUAAAAUUUCGUGGAGGUCCGAACCCACGAGCGUUGAAAAGCUCGGGGAUGACUUGUGGGUAGCGGUGAAAUUCCAAUCGAGCCCGGAGAUAGCUGGUUCUCCCCGAAAUAGCUUUAGGGCUAGCCUCAAGGUGAGAGAUACGGAGGUAGAGCACUGAAUGUCCUAGGGGGUAUUGCACCUACCGAAGACUAUCAAACUCCGAAUGCCGUCAUCUUAUACUUGGGAGUCAGACUGUGGGUGAUAAGAUUCAUAGUCGAAAGGGCAACAGCCCAGAUCGUCAGCUAAGGUCCCUAAAUGUAAGUUAAGUGGUAAAGGAUGUGGGAUUGCACAGACAACCAGGAUGUUGGCUUAGAAGCAGCCACUCAUUCAAAGAGUGCGUAAUAGCUCACUGGUCGAGUGAUCCUGCGCCGAAGAUUUCCGGGGCUAAAACUUACUACCGAAGCUACGGCAUCAGUAAUGAUGGGUAGGGGAGCUUCCCAUACGGGUUGAAGCAUGACCGUAAGGACAUGUGGACAGUAUGGGAGUGAGAAUGUUGGCAUGAGUAGCGAGAUGUGGGUGAGAAUCCCACAGGCCGUAAACCCAAGGUUUCCAGGGGAAGGUUCGUCCGCCCUGGGUUAGUCGGGACCUAAGCUGA
rnacentral:rRNA from 1 species